GACAGUUUGGCCGAGUGGUCUAAGGCGCUAGACUUAGGCUCUAGUCCGAAGGUUCAAAUCCUACGACUGUCA